CAGCCGCCGCGGUAAGACGAACCGUGCGAACGUUAUUCGGAAUCACUGGGCUUAAAGCGCGUGUAGGCGGGAGGGCACGUCCGUCGCUGAAAUCCCCCGGCUCAACCGGGGAACGGGCGCGGAUACGACUCUUCUGGAGGAACGUAGGGGGACCUGGAACUUCCGGUGGAGCGGUGAAAUGCGUUGAGAUCGGAAGGAAUGCCCGUGGCGAAAGCGAGGUCCUGGACGUUUACUGACGCUGAGACGCGAAAGCCAGGGGAGCGAACGGGAUUAGAUACCCCGGUAGUCCCUGUCUCUUAUU
rnacentral:rRNA from 1 species